AAUAGACUCCCUCCUGUUCUUAAGAACCUAUUAAAUUUGAGGUAUACCUGGACCUCACUCAUUCCUCUCCCUUCCCAUCCUCCUGAAUCUUAUGUUUGGCCUAAAGAAAGAAUCAUGGUAAAACAUCCAAAACCCUCAAGACUGGCCGAGGGAACACAGGAAGAUUGCUGAAUUCCUGGUGAUAUUAUGGUUCCUGAGUCUUCUGCCGUGCUUCUUUGCUCCAAUUGGUAUCAUCCCAAUAUAUGUGUAUUCACUUGCGCUUUAUGGGUUUAUGCACUUCUUUCUUAUCAACCCCCCAAAAAACUUUCUACUAUAAAUCCAGAUUUUGGUUGUUUAAACUUCUGAACCAGAAUUUUGCAACAGAAAUACAUACAGAGUGCAAGCCACUGUUCAGUGCAUUCCUGCUUGGCUUCGCUUCAUCCAGUGCCUGUGCUGGUACCGUGACAAAAGAAGAGCCUUUCCUCUUCCAGUAAAUGCUGCCUGGCAAAUACUCUACAACUUUCUUCACCCUGACAUUUCCAGCCCUUUACAACACUCACAAAGACCCAGUUUUUGCCACUGACUGUUGCAUGUGGAGUUGAAAGAAGAUGUGCAGUGGAGCAGCAAUACACAGUGUCAUGCAGAUAGAAUGUAUGCAACCUGGGAAGGGUAGAGAACAACACAGUUUAUACCAGGAAGAAGUGAUAAAUUCCAAUACCAGCGUACAUGAAGAAAGUCCAUAAGUAGUGAGAAAGAUCAUUCCUGAAGUUCUUCAAUAAUCGUUUCCUUUUAUGUUUAGGUGCUGAGGACAAAGAGAAGACACACAGAAGGACUGAGACAGAAGGUCUGAACUGGAAGGACAGAGACAGAUGGACUGGGCUCGAUAGUGGCUGAGCUGAAAAAUCCGGUUUGAGAUAAGGAGAACUGAGCUAAGUAGAGCUGAUACAAAAAGAUCUGGGCUGAGAAGAAAUGUAGAGAGGAAUAACUUAUGUAACAUAAGAGAGCAAUCAGCAGAAUGCAGAAGAAAAGAGGAAAAAAGAAGAAGCUGGAAAGAAAAGAAGGUGCAGGCAGGUUUGUCCUUACCAUGGGACAGAAAAGGUCAUUUCUUAGUACUAAUGGAGGCUUAGUCUUGUUAAAAGGAAGAAGUCUUUUCUCUUACAAACUUGGUAUGAAUAAACUUAGCAUUAAAAGGGUAGAAGCGAUUUCUUUCUCUCUGAAAUAAAGAUUGGAGUCCAUCUUUCUGCACUGGUCCUUGGUCUUUUGCUCAAUAUGCAUAUGUAAGUAUGGAUGUCUGUGUAAGUAUGUAAUUAUGAGUUUUUGUGUGUAAGAAUGUAAUUGUGAGAUUGCAUGUA